rnacentral:rRNA from 1 species
AUGAAGAAACAAGAGAAGUUGGGAUCAUUGUUGGGGCGAAUCCCUGGUUUGUCACAAGAUUUCAACAAAUGUGUUGACUUUAGCUUGACACCAGAGGAGUUUGAGGCAGGAUGGACUGAGCUGCUAUUGAAGUAUGAGGCUAUGACUAACUCCCACUUUGAGACUCUAUACAAGUACCGAGAAACAUGGGUUACUUGUUAUUUCAAGCACCAAUUCUUCCCCUUCUUGCAGUCAACUCAACGCAGCGAGGGGUUCAACACUGUCCUUAGCAUUAGCUGA